rnacentral:rRNA from 1 species
GACGAACGCUGGCGGCGUGCUUAACACAUGCAAGUCGAACGGAAAGGCCCUGCUUUUGUGGGGUGCUCGAGUGGCGAACGGGUGAGUAACACGUGAGUAACCUGCCCUUGACUUUGGGAUAACUUCAGGGAACUGGGGCUAAUACCGGAUAGGAGCUCCUGCUGCAUGGUGGGGGUUGGAAAGUUUCGGCGGUUGGGGAUGGACUCGCGGCUUAUCAGCUUGUUGGUGGGGUAGUGGCUUACCAAGGCUUUGACGGGUAGCCGGCCUGGGAGGGUGACCGGCUACAUUGGGACGGAGAUACGGCCCAGACUCGUACGGGAGGCAGAAGUGGGGAAGAUUGCACAAUGGGCGGAAGCCUGAUGCAGCAAAGCCGCGUGCGGGAUGACGGCCUUCGGGUUGUAAACCGCUUUCGCCUGUGACGAAGCGUGAGUGACGGUAAUGGGUAAAGAAGCACCGGCUAACUACGUG